rnacentral:rRNA from 1 species
UACGUAGGGGGCUAGCGUUGUCCGGAUUUAUUGGGCGUAAAGCGCGCGCAGGCGGUUCGUUAAGUCCGGUGUGAAAGCCCCCGGCUCACCUGGGGGAGGGCAUUGGAGACUGGCGGACUGGAGGCAGGCAGAGGCCGGUGGAAUUCCCGGUGUAGUGGUGAAAUGCGUAGAUAUCUGGAGGAACACCGGUGGCGAAGGCGGCAUUCUGGACCGAAACUGACGCUGAGGCGCGAAAGCCAGGGGAG